rnacentral:rRNA from 1 species
AACUCCUCGGGACGCAGCAGUGAGGAAUAUUGGUCAAUGGCCGAGAGGCUGAACCAGCCAAGUCGCGUGAGGGAUGACGGCCCCACGGGUUGUAAACCUCUUUUGCCGGGGAGCAAAGAGCGGGACGCGUCCCGCCUCGAGAGUACCCGGAGAAAAAGCAUCGGCUAACUCCGUGCCAGCAGCCGCGGUAAUACGGAGGAUGCGAGCGUUAUCCGGAUUUAUUGGGUUUAAAGGGUGCGCAGGCGGAAGCGCAAGUCAGCGGUCAAAUUGAGAGGCUCAACCUCUUCCCGCCGUUGCA